CCGGGCCCGGCUGCUCAUCCCCCGCAGGGAGGCCUCCGCCUGGGUUGCGCGCUCCGCAAAACGACCAGGUGCUGCUUAGCGGGCGGAGGCCUCGGGCAAAAGCCCCGAAGGCAGGAUCAGCUGUUUCCUGCCUGAGGAGAGGGAGCCGGCCUGGACUUCCUUCGGCAGGGAGACUGGAGGGCUGCUUCUUCCCGUGAAAUCAGCCGCCUCCCGGUUACCUGUCCACCUUACCCUGCCCGCACCAAGGGCUCCGACUUCCUGCCUUUCAGCGCUGCGCCAGCAUCAAGAUUCUUCAUGGAGCAACAAAGAGCAGGCAAUUAAUUGCAAGAGAGAGGAAGUCUGCAUGAUUCUUGAUUCACCUUUAUUACCAAAUAAAUCAGGCAUUCCAAAUGUAUCAUACAUCUAAACAAGUCCACACCGCUGUUGGCUAGUAGACUCAGCCAGCAGAAUCCUGAAUGACAAAGAAGAUAUGCAAUUUUUGUGUUUGUCAUGAUUGUGCUUCAUAUUGUAAUGUAUUUUUGUGUACGUGACAGAAUGACUGACUUUAUUAGAUUCGUAUCUUGACUUUCCUCCAGGAGUUUAUGAUGACUUAAUGGUGAUGUCCUUCAUUUGAUCCCCAUAACAGCAACCUUGUGAAGAAGGUUGACUGUUUUCUGUGGCCAAAGGUGAAUUUGAAUUGAAUGAGAAAUUGUUAUAAUUCAGUCUGUAGAUUACUUUCUUUUACUCCCUGAUGCACUUUGUCCUUUCCCAGUUCAAUUUUGGAGUAUCAUUGGAAAAAUAUUAUUAUUCACCAUUAUAAAUCCAGAGCCUAGUGGAGUUGAAUGGCUAUUACAAAUGUGAAUAAAUAAAUUAAUCAUAGCUGCUGAA